GCAAACUUGGUCAUUUAGAGGAAGUAAAAGUCGUAACAAGGUUUCCGUAGGUGAACCUGCGGAAGGAUCAUUAUUGAAUUGGAAAACAGGGGUUGUUCUGGCCUUUUGAGGCAUGUGAACACCCCUAUUCAAAUCCAUAUCACCCCUGUGCACUUUUGUAGGUUGAGAAAUCAACCUAUGUAUUUUUAUACACUCGAUGAAAUGAUAGAAUGUUUAUUAAAAGUAGGCUUGUAACAAGCUGAAAUAAUUUUAUACAACUUUCAACAACGGAUCUCUUGGCUCUCGCAUCGAUGAAGAACGCAGC
rnacentral:misc_RNA from 1 species